rnacentral:rRNA from 1 species
CCUACGGGUGGCAGCAGUGGGGAAUAUUGGACAAUGGGGGCAACCCUGAUCCAGCCAUGCCGCGUGUGUGAAGAAGGCCCUCGGGUUGUAAAGCACUUUCAGUGAGGAAGAACGCCUGGUGGUUAAUACCCAUCAGGAAAGACAUCACUCACAGAAGAAGCACCGGCUAACUCCGUGCCAGCAGCCGCGGUAAUACGGAGGGUGCGAGCGUUAAUCGGAAUUACUGGGCGUAAAGCGCGCGUAGGUGGCUUGAUAAGCCGGUUGUGAAAGCCCCGGGCUCAACCUGGGAACGGCAUCCGGAACUGUCAAGCUAGAGUGCAGGAGAGGAAGGUAGAAUUCCCGGUGUAGCGGUGAAAUGCGUAGAGAUCGGGAGGAAUACCAGUGGCGAAGGCGACCUUCUGGACUGACACUGACACUGAGGUGCGAAAGCGUGGGUAGCAAACAGGAUUAGAUACCCGGGUAGUC